rnacentral:rRNA from 1 species
GAUUAUGGCUCAGGAUGAACGCUAGCUACAGGCUUAACACAUGCAAGUCGAGGGGCAGCAUGAUCAAAGCUUGCUUUGAUUGAUGGCGACCGGCGCACGGGUGAGUAACGCGUAUCCAACCUUCCCUAUAGUAGAGGAUAGCCCGGCGAAAGUCGGAUUAAUACUCUAUGUUUUCCAAUGCAGACAUCUAAAAUGGAACAAAGGUUUACCGCUAUAGGAUGGGGAUGCGUCUGAUUAGGCUGUUGGCGGGGUAACGGCCCACCAAGCCUACGAUCAGUAGGGGUUCUGAGAGGAAGGUCCCCCACAUUGGAACUGAGACACGGUCCAAACUCCUACGGGAGGCAGCAGUGAGGAAUAUUGGUCAAUGGGCGAGAGCCUGAACCAGCCAAGUAGCGUGCAAGGAUGACGGCCCUAUGGGUUGUAAACUGCUUUUAUACAGGGAUAAAGUGCGCCACGUGUGGCGUUUUGUAGGUACUGUAUGAAUAAGGACCGGCUAAUUCCGUGCCAGCAGCCGC